UACAGAGGGUGCAAGCGUUGUUCGGAAUUAUUGGGCGUAAAGGGCGCGUAGGCGGCGCAACAAGUCACUUGUGAAAUCUCCGGGCUUAACCCGGAGCGGCCAAGUGAUACUGUCGUGCUAGAGUGCGGAAGGGGCUACUGGAAUUCUCGGUGUAGCGGUGAAAUGCGUAGAUAUCGCUUGGAACGCCGAAGGUGAAAACAGGCUGCUGGGGUUGCGCCGACGCUGAGACACGAAAGCCAGGGGAGCAAACGGG
rnacentral:rRNA from 1 species